rnacentral:rRNA from 1 species
AAAUUGAAGAGUUUGAUCAUGGCUCAGAUUGAACGCUGGCGGCAGGCCUAACACAUGCAAGUCGAACGGUAACAGGAAGAAGCUUGCUUCUUUGCUGACGAGUGGCGGACGGGUGAGUAAUGUCUGGGAAACUGCCUGAUGGAGGGGGAUAACUACUGGAAACGGUAGCUAAUACCGCAUAACGUCGCAAGACCAAAGAGGGGGACCUUCUGGCCUCUUGCCAUCGGAUGUGCCCAGAUGGGAUUAGCUUGUUGGUGGGGUAACGGCUCACCAAGGCGACGAUCCCUAGCUGGUCUGAGAGGAUGACCAGCCACACUGGAACUGAGACACGGUCCAGACUCCUACGGGAGGCAGCAGUGGGGAAUAUUGCACAAUGGGCG